rnacentral:misc_RNA from 1 species
AUUUAUAGGUGGCAUUAUUUAUUUAUGUUUUUAAUAUGCUAAGUCUGCUUCAAUCUGAGCAAUAUAGAUUUUUAAUCUCUUGAUUUUUUAUUAUUUUUUAUCAAAUUAUUGACCAAAUCUUUUUUGUUCUAUGGGAGUUCUGACAUCUGUAUCAAGCUGAUUGAUUCUGGACUGAAGAGCUACAUAAAGCUUAGCUAUUUGAGCUAAGAGUGAAUCUGCCUUUGUUUCUAUCAACUAAGUUUGGUUGACGACUGAAU